UACAGAGGGUGCGAGCGUUGUUCGGAAUUACUGGGCGUAAAGCGCGUGUAGGCGGUCUACUAAGUCAGAUGUGAAAGCCUGGGGCUUAACUCCAGAAGUGCAUUUGAAACUAUUAGGCUAGAGUGAUGUAGAGGAUGGCGGAAUACCCAGUGUAGAGGUGAAAUUCGUAGAGAUUGGGUAGAACACCGGUGGCGAAGGCGGCCAUCUGGGCAUUAACUGACGCUGAGACGCGAAAGCGUGGGGAGCAAACAGG
rnacentral:rRNA from 1 species